GAUGAACGCUGGCGGCGUGCCUAAUACAUGCAAGUCGAGCGAACAGACGAGGAGCUUGCUCCUCUGACGUUAGCGGCGGACGGGUGAGUAACACGUGGAUAACCUACCUAUAAGACUGGGGUAACUUCGGGAAACCGGAGCUAAUACCGGAUAAUAUAUUGAACCGUAUGGUUCAAUAGUGAAAGACGGUUUUGCUGUCACUUAUAGAUGGAUCCGCGCCGCAUUAGCUAGUUGGUAAGGUAACGGCUUACCAAGGCAACGAUGCGUAGCCGACCUGAGAGGGUGAUCGGCCACACUGGAACUGAGACACGGUCCAGACUCCUACGGGAGGCAGCAGUAGGGAAUCUUCCGCAAUGGGCGAAAGCCUGACGGAGCAACGCCGCGUGAGUGAUGAAGGUCUUCGGAUCGUAAAACUCUGUUAUUAGGGAAGAACAAAUGUGUAAGUAACUAUGCACGUCUUGACGGUACCUAAUCAGAAAGCCACGGCUAACUACGUG
rnacentral:rRNA from 1 species